CGCGUCUAAUUAAACGAUUACCCUGAACGGUGGAUCACUCGGCUCGU
rnacentral:rRNA from 1 species